CUGUCACCUGACCAGUGACAUGUGUGAUGCUGAGGCGCCUGUGUAGGCCUGCUGUCACCUGACCAGUAAUGUGUGUGAUGCUGGGGCGCCUGUGUAGGCCUGCUGUCACCUGACCAGUAACAUGUGUGAUGCUGAGACGCCUGUGUAGGGCUGCUGUCACCUGACCAAUAAUGUGUGUGAUGCUGAGGCACCUGUGUAGGCCUGCUGUGUGGUAGAAAUAUCGCUGAGGUCAAUUUGUUUAACAAAUCUGACAAAACUUUAUUACAGCAAAGCUUUGGGGGAACAGACACUCAGCAGUCUUUCAUGCAUCUCGUGAUCUCCUCCCCAAACAAGUGCAUGCCUCUUUUAUAACAAACAAUCGCAACAGUUUACAGAUAGUUCAGGGAGGGGUCAGAUAUCUGUAGACACCAGUCACUUCUGUUAAACUGGACCCAUUAUCAGGUAAAGGCAGGGCUGAAUUUUUCAUGAUCACUCUUGUGAUUACAUCACCCUGUUCAAAACAAGUUAAUCUGAAUUCCCCUUACGUUCCUUAGUUCUCUUUUCACAUAAUCUUGACCCCUAAAUACACACAUUUCUUAUAAAUGUUUUCUGCAGCAGACUUACUUCUCGGAUCAGGUUUGUACCUUGACCUUUAAUGCAAAACAAGCUACCAUAUCAACAUACAUUAGUUCCUCUUACCUAUAAUAAUGAAAACCUAUUACUUAAGCAAGCUUGCAUUAUAUGUUUAGUAUAUGAAAUGUUUCAAGGCAGAAGUUAAUCAUUACAAUCAUCAUAUUUGAAUCAGCAGUGUUAUCAUAAGUUUUAUUAAUGAUUGCUGAUUGAAUUUAUAUUGGAUUUGCAUAAUCAUGGAUUUUUCUACGUCAGCUGUCACCUGACCAGUAACUUGUGUGAUGCUAAGGUGCUUGUGUAGGCCUGCUGUCACGUGACCAGUAACGUGUGUGACACUGAGGUGCUUGUGUAGGCCUGCUGUCACGUGACCAGUAACGUGUGUGACACUGAGGUGCUUGUGUAGGCCUGUUGUCACGUGACCAGUAACGUGUGUGACACUGAGGUGCUUGUGUAGGCCUGCUGUCACGUGACCAGUAACGUGUGUGACACUGAGGUGCUUGUGUAGGCCUGCUGUCGCUCCCAUCCCUCUCACACACACAUCCAUCACCUACUCACCUGCCUUCUGUACCAGUUAACAUGCUAUAGUAAAUAUGAAAUCCUGUAGAGUUCACUAUUUAGAAAAGCUAGAGGGUUAUUGCAAUAACUACCAAAAACUGGACUUUUCACACCUCAGUUAACAGUGUUAUAAACUCACCAAGACAUACGAUGUGUUCUAUAUUGGAUAACCUUUGACCCUUGACCUGUG